GGUUAAGUUAGAAAGGGCGCACGGUGGAUGCCUUGGCACUAGGAGCCGAAGAAGGACGGGACUAACACCGAUAUGCUUUGGGGAGCUGUACGUAAGCGUUGAUCCAGAGAUUUCCGAAUGGGGGAACCCACUAUCUUUAGUCGGAUAGUAUCCUUACGUGAAUACAUAGCGUGAGGAAGGCAGACCCAGGGAACUGAAACAUCUAAGUACCUGGAGGAAGAGAAAGAAAAAUCGAUUUCCUGAGUAGCGGCGAGCGAAACGGAAAGAGCCCAAACCAAGAAGCUUGCUUCUUGGGGUUGUAGGACACUCUAUACGGAGUUACAAAAGAAAGUUAUAAAUGAAGCGGUCUGGAAAGGCCCGCCAAAGACGGUAACAGCCCGGUAGUUGAAAUGGCUUUCCCUCCAGAGUGGAUCCUGAGUACGGCGGAACACGUGAAAUUCCGUCGGAAUCCGGGAGGACCAUCUCCCAAGGCUAAAUACUCCCUAGUGACCGAUAGUGAACCAGUACCGUGAGGGAAAGGUGAAAAGCACCCCGGAAGGGGAGUGAAACAGUUCCUGAAACCGUGUGCCUACAA
rnacentral:rRNA from 1 species